rnacentral:rRNA from 1 species
GAUGAACGCUGGCGGCGUUCCUAAUACAUGCAAGUCGAGCGAACGGACGAGAAGCUUGCUUCUCUGAUGUUAGCGGCGGACGGGUGAGUAACACGUGGAUAACCUACCUAUAAGACUGGGAUAACUUCGGGAAACCGGAGCUAAUACCGGAUAAUAUUUUGAACCGCAUAGUUCAAAAGUGAAAGACGGUCUUGCUGUCACUUAUAGAUGGAUCCGCGCUGCAUUAGCUAGUUGGUAAGGUAACGGCUUACCAAGGCAACGAUGCAUAGCCGACCUGAGAGGGUGAUCGGCCACACUGGAACUGAGACACGGUCCAGACUCCUACGGGAGGCAGCAGUAGGGAAUCUUCCGCAAUGGGCGAAAGCCUGACGGAGCAACGCCGCGUGAGUGAUGAAGGUCUUCGGAUCGUAAAACUCUGUUAUUAGGGAAGAACAUAUGUGUAAGUAACUGUGCACAUCUUGACGGUACCUAAUCAGAAAGCCACGGCUAACUACGUG